UCUCCUGGAGCAGCAGGUUAAUAAUCCAACGUGAAGUGAUGCCCGAAUUCUCACUGCUAAUGUAAGACGAAUUUUUGAGCAGGUAAAGGAUGCCCCUAAGGUGACCCAACCACUUUACGGGAUGCCUGGGAGUCACAAUCUGCCUA
rnacentral:snRNA from 1 species